CACUAGUCAAAUAUCGAUAUGAAAAUUCUUCGAUUUAGAGAUACGCCUUGGGGUAAAAUUGAUUUGUUUUUCAUCUAGAAUUAUUCUUGCAUUAUUCGGUCUUUUAGUGGAUAUUAUAAAACCAUUUAUAUAGUAUUUAUAAAUUUAUAUUAGGGGCGCCGCAAAUAAAUUUGUAAGUAUUAAUUUCAAACUUAAAUGGUAUUAGCUUAAGACUAAAAAAUACCAGAAAUUUAUAUGGAGAUGCCAACCCAAGCAUAGAUUAACGUCUUAAAGCCCUUCAGCAAAUGUUUUAAAAUUUUUAAUCUUCCAGUCAGUUUGUUCGACGAACAAAAAAGUUUAUUUUCAACAUUUGCAUAGGGAUGCCAAACGACAAAAAAUUUAAAUCACUGUGGAUGGCAGUCAUGCAUGCUUUGGCGUGCGCGAGGAGACUCUAUAUAUAGCCGAAGAAUUAAAAAUUUUCUGUAGACAUCCGAUCUGAUCGAAUUAUACUCCAACCGAAAGUACCAAAAACAACUGAGAGGGACACACUGAGAAAAGAGUGAGAGACAACGUCUUUAAAACAAUAGAAAAUGCAAAGACAGUCGAUGAGAGAAAGAAAAUUCUCUCAGCAAAGUAAGUAAGCGGAGAGGGAGAGAGGGAACACAUAUUCUUGUGUUUCUAAAUAUUUUUCGCGUGAAACUUUAACCCAAUAGUUCAAUGGUUAAGAUGUCUGCCUGUUAAUCUUAGAUCGUUGGUUCGAUUCCCACCGGAAAACUAUGAAUAUUAUGAGUUUACUUUUAUUUUUUUUUAAUAUCGCAAGCUUAAUAUAAAAUUUUACAUUUAUUCUUUUUUUAAAUGGGGAUUUAAAAAAUAAUUGAGAUUGAUAUAUACAACUUUGUAGAGUCAUAUUAUUGUCAGUCGCUGCCUACGCGCGAUUCCUUGAUAGCUUAGAGGCUUGUCUCUUAAACAAAAGCUCGGAGGUUCGAAUCCCAGUCCAGG